AGUGAACGCUGGCGGUAGGCCUAACACAUGCAAGUCGAACGGCAGCACAGUAAGAGCUUGCUCUUACGGGUGGCGAGUGGCGGACGGGUGAGGAAUACAUCGGAAUCUACUUUUUCGUGGGGGAUAACGUAGGGAAACUUACGCUAAUACCGCAUACGACCUACGGGUGAAAGCAGGGGAUCUUCGGACCUUGCGCGAUUGAAUGAGCCGAUGUCGGAUUAGCUAGUUGGCGGGGUAAAGGCGCACCAAGGCGACGAUCCGUAGCUGGUCUGAGAGGAUGAUGAGGCACACUAGAACUGAACCGAGGUACAGACCAGUCUGGGACGCAGCACAGGAGAAUAUUAGACAAUGGGAGGAAGGGUAGUCCAGUCCUGCCGCGUCGCUGGCAAAGUGCUUGGGGUUGGGAAGGCAUUCUGUUGGGGAAAAAAAGCAGCAGGUUAAACCCCUGCUGUUAUGACGGUACCCAACGAAUAAGCACCGGCUAACUUCGUG
rnacentral:rRNA from 1 species